rnacentral:rRNA from 1 species
UACGUAGGGGGCAAGCGUUGUCCGGAUUUAUUGGGCGUAAAGAGCUCAUAGGUGGUUCGGUAAGUCGGAUGUGAAAUCUCCAGGCUCAACCUGGAGGGGUCAUUCGAUACUGCCGUGACUAGAGGUCGGUAGGGGAGUGUGGAAUUCCUGGUGGAGCGGUGAAAUGCGCAGAUAUCAGGAGGAACACCCGUAGCGAAGGCGGCACUCUGGGCCGAUACUGACACUGAGGAGCGAAAGCGUGGGGAGCGAACAGG